rnacentral:rRNA from 1 species
UGACUGAGUGGCGGACGGGUGAGUAACGCGUGGGUAACCUGCCCUGUACAGGGGGACAACAGUUAGAAAUGACUGCUAAUACCGCAUAAGCGCACAGGACCGCAUGGUCCGGUGUGAAAAACUCCGGUGGUACAGGAUGGACCCGCGUCUGAUUAGGUAGUUGGCGGGGUAACGGCCCACCAAGCCGACGAUCAGUAGCCGACCUGAGAGGGUGACCGGCCACAUUGGGACUGAGACACGGCCCAAACUCCUACGGGAGGCAGCAG